AGGUUUCCGUAGGUGAACCUGCGGAAGGAUCAUUACCGAACUGUCAACACGAGUUGUUGCUGGUCCUCAAACGGGGACAUGUGCACGCUCUGUUUACACAUCCACUCACACCUGUGCACCCUCCAUAGUUCUGCAGCCUGGGGGCUCUGUCUCCCUGCCGUGGUUCUAUGUAUUUACACACACACUGUAGUAAAGUCUCAUGGAAUGCAUACCGCGUUUAACGCAAUAUAAUACAACUUUCAGCAACGGAUCUCUUGGCUCUCGCAUCGAUGAAGAACGCAGCGAAAUGCGAUAAGUAAUGUGAAUUGCAGAAUUCAGUGAAUCAUCGAAUCUUUGAACGCACCUUGCGCCCUUUGGCUAUUCCGAAGGGCAUGCCUGUUUGAGUAUCAUGAACACCUCAACUCUCAUGGCUUUGCCAUGAUGAGCUUGGACUUUGGGGGUCUUGCUGGCCUGUGGGUCGGCUCCUCUCAAAUGAAUUAGCUUGCCAGUGUUUGGUGGCAUCACGGGUGUGAUAACUAUCUACGCUUGUGGUUUUCCACCAGGUAACCUUCAGUGAUGAAGGUUCGCUGGGGCUCAUAAACGUCUCUCCUCAGCGAGGACAGCUCUUUGAACGUUUGAUCUCAACUCAGGUAGGACUACCCGCUGAACUUAGCA
rnacentral:rRNA from 1 species